AGUGAACGCUGGCGGUAGGCCUAACACAUGCAAGUCGAACGGCAGCACAGUAAGAGCUUGCUCUUACGGGUGGCGCGUGGCGGACGGGUGCGGAAUACAUCGGAAUCUACUUUUUCGUGGGGGAUAACGUAGGGAAACUUACGCUAAUACCGCAUACGACCUACGAGUGAAAGCAGGGGAUCUUCGGACCUUGCGCGAGUGAAUGAGCCGAUGUCGGAUUAGCUAGUUGGCGGGGUAAAGGCCCACCAAGGCGACGAUCCGUAGCUGGUCUGAGAGGAUGAUCAGCCACACUGGAACUGAGACACGGUCCAGACUCCUACGGGAGGCAGCAGUGGGGAAUAUUGGACAAUGGGCGCAAGCCUGAUCCAGCCAUACCGCGUGAGUGAAGAAGGCCUUCGGGUUGUAAAGCCCUUUUGUUGGGAAAGAAAAGCAGCAGGUUAAUACCCCGCUGUUCUGACGGUACCCAAAGAAUAAGCACCGGCUAACUUCGUG
rnacentral:rRNA from 1 species